UGGGCUUCAGUUUUCUUAUUUGUAAAAUGG
rnacentral:piRNA from 1 species